rnacentral:lncRNA from 1 species
UUGCCUGGUCUGUAUCAAAAGACAGAAUCUUGAUGACUAAGACAUUUUCUUUGGUACCUACAAGAAGGAUCCAGCUCUCUACUUCUAUCAACUCCUGGAUGACUACAAGAAAGGGAACCUCCACAUCAUUCCAGAAACUCCUCUGGCUGAGGAGAGAUCAGGAGAUGACAGUGAUGUGUUGAUAGAGAGAGACAUCAUGGCCUCCAUGCAGAGGAAUGUGUGGAUGGACAUAUAUUUAAGGAAGACACUAAACCAGAAAAUACCACAUUACACCCUCUUAAAAGACUUCUAAGAUUGUUGUCAUGCCUACCACAGACAUUCAGAUGAUGUGUAUUCUUGAUUGUGAUUUCAUGUUUGGAGCUGAUGAAGGAGAAAGUACCUGGAAUGUCCUAGAAUUCUCAAGACCCAGGAGAUGAACAUAUGCCUGAGAAGAAGAACUAGUGUGGAACUGUCAGCCAGGUUUUUGAUGAGUGCUCAGACUGCUUCCUGAUCCGGCACCACAUUUACUAUAGUGGACAGAUGCUCUAGUCUCUGAUGAGGAGUUGCUAGCUGUUAGGAAAAACCUGGAAUGGGCUCCACUGCAUGAGGUUUGAAGUCUCCAGAGCAGCAAAGAGAGUGGGGAGUAGAACUCAUCAUCUUUAGGUCACUCAACAUC